ensembl:ncRNA lncRNA:CR43410 long non-coding RNA:CR43410
ACCGAUUUAAUUAAUGUGGUAUCACUUGACUUAUUUUGGGUCGUGGAGCGGUAGUCCCACAGCCGCAAUGCGAUGGAGAUGGCGCAGAAAUGCGGCUGACAUCCGUGUAAACGAGUGCGUAGUGAGCCCCCACCACGCCAGACAAACAAAAAGGACCUCUUCAAACGGCCCUUUCAUCCGGCGCUCAUCCAAUCCAAUCCAUGCCUAUUCCCACACUCUACCACCCAACAAGCAACGCUGCGCAAAUAUAUUUGUAUAAAAAUGCAAAUUCAGCUAAGCCCGUCGAAUAUUUCAGCUGAAGUUUAUAAGGUUUUAUGCGCACUCCCCAAAACAUCCGGAUCCUGCAACAGCUCUCCACCGAUUUUGGCUCAAAAAUCAAAAUGCCGCGGGGCGCAAGAGACAAAGGCAAAAGCGAAUGGAAAAUGGAAAAUGCGAAUUUUUUUUAAACCGAUGUUCAUAUACCCUUGCAAAUAAAAAUAUCUACAUUUUGU